rnacentral:rRNA from 1 species
UGGGGAAUAUUGCACAAUGGGCGCAAGCCUGAUGCAGCCAUGCCGCGUGUAUGAAGAAGGCCUUCGGGUUGUAAAGUACUUUCAGCGGGGAGGAAGGGAGUAAAGUUAAUACCUUUGCUCAUUGACGUUACCCGCAGAAGAAGCACCGGCUAACUCCGUGCCAGCAGCCGCGGUAAUACGGAGGGUGCAAGCGUUAAUCGGAAUUACUGGGCGUAAAGCGCACGCAGGCGGUUUGUUAAGUCAGAUGUGAAAUCCCCGGGCUCAACCUGGGAACUGCAUCUGAUACUGGCAAGCUUGAGUCUCGUAGAGGGGGGUAGAAUUCCAGGUGUAGCGGUGAAAUGCGUAGAGAUCUGGAGGAAUACCGGUGGCGAAGGCGGCCCCCUGGACGAAGACUGACGCUCAGGUGAGAAAGCGUGGGGAGCAAACAGG